rnacentral:rRNA from 1 species
AUUGAACGCUGGCAGCAGGCCUAACACAUGCAAGUCGAGCGGCAGCGGAAAGUAGCUUGCUACUUUGCCGGCGAGCGGCGGACGGGUGAGUAAUGUCUGGGAAACUGCCUGAUGGAGGGGGAUAACUACUGGAAACGGUAGCUAAUACCGCAUAAUGUCGCAAGACCAAAGAGGGGGACCUUCGGGCCUCUGGCCAUCAGAUGUGCCCAGAUGGGAUUAGCUAGUAGGUGGGGUAACGGCUCACCUAGGCGACGAUCCCUAGCUGGUCUGAGAGGAUGACCAGCCACACUGGAACUGAGACACGGUCCAGACUCCUACGGGAGGCAGCAGUGGGGAAUAUUGCACAAUGGGCGCAAGCCUGAUGCAGCCAUGCCGCGUGUAUGAAGAAGGCCUUCGGGUUGUAAAGUACUUUCAGCGGGGAGGAAGGUGCUGAGGUUAAUAACCUCAGCAAUUGACGUUACCCGCAGAAGAAGCACCGGCUAACUCCGUGCCAGCAGCCGCAGUAA